ensembl:lncRNA novel transcript
CGCCCAGUCACAUCUGUAAGUCGGUUAAUUUUGGCGCUCGGUCGAUGGAGGUGGCGGUACUCUGGUUUAGUGCGAAAGGCAGAGGAUCCUAACCCUGUGGACACCACCAUCACUGGCCUAUGAGGAGUGCUGCCAGGCUUCCACUGAUGUUCACUUAAGGCCCAAGGGCUCUUCAAUUAGCUUGAGAUUGCAUUUCUCUGGAAUGACCACAGCAAUAUUUCCAGCCCUUGAUGAUCUUCUAGAACUUUGCCACUUCCCUGCAUCAAGAGGUAUAACCUCAUCCUGGAGCAGGGCACCCUAUCGUCAGAUGGUAUCAUCUUUAAGGGGUUGUCUCAGCCAUGCCUUUAGAAUUACCUUUCAUUGCUUGUCAUGCUGGAAGCUUCUGAAUGUUGCAUUUUGUGAUAGAAACAGUGGGUACCAUGGUCAUGUGCUCACAUCUCCUUUGCGGUAAAGAAAAGGAUCACUCAUUAACAUCCACCAGAUAACAUUCUCCAUGAAAGCACCAAAUAAGGUUUGUCUUGGUCCAUUUUAUGCUGCUAUAACAGAACACCACAGACUGAGAAAUUUAUAAGGAAUAGAAGUUUAUUUGCCUCAUGUUUCUGGAGGCUGGGAAUUCCAAGAUCAAGGGGCUGCAUAGAUUGAGGUCCUUUUUGCUGACUCAUAACGUGGAAAGAGAGUGCACUGCAUAGAAGAAAGGAGGCCAAACUCAUUCUUUUAUCAUGAGCCUACUCCUGAAAUAACUCACUCUCAAGAUAAUGGCAUUAAUCCAUUCAUGAAGGCAGAAUACUCAUGAUGUAAUCACCUCUUAAAAGGUCCUAUUUCCUAACACUGUUGCAUUAGGGAUUAAGCUGUCAACACAUGAAUAUUGGGGGACACAUUCAAACCAUAGCAAGAGUUCUUUGUCUUUGUGACUCGGUGUGGUUCAGCAAAUUGCGAUUGGUCUGCUAUAGCGGACUUUCCCCUCACCUCCCAAAUGUUUAUUAUGAAAAAUUUCAUUUUAAAGAAAGGUGGAAGGAAUUGUUGAAAGAAUAUGUCAUCUAGUUUCUACUGUUGUUAACAUUGUGUCAUAUUUGCCUUUUCAUCCAUCCAACCACCCAUCCAUCUAGCUACCUUAUAAUUACUAUUAUUACUUAUUAUUACUAUUAUUUUUAAAGACACCUCUAUUAAAGCAACCAUCUUAUUUUUUGAUUUUAUUUAUUUUCAAAGUUAGUUGCAGACAUUAGUAUACUUUACUCCUAGACAUUUUAGCGUGAACAUAAUUAACUGGAGUAUAAUACUUGUUUUCAAUUUCUUUUUAUUUUUGAGGUAAAAUUUACAUACAGUGAAAUCCAAAUCUUAAGUGUACCACUAGAUAAAUUUUGAUAAAUGCAUUAUGCCUGGUCUUCACACACCCUUUUCAAUAUAUAGAAAAUUUCCAGAUAAUUUAUUUUGUUGUUUUUUUCACACACUAAGUUCUAGACUUUUCCAGGUCCGAGGGAACUAUUAGGGGGGAAAGUACUUGUUAUAGUAAAAAAGAUUUUAGGUGUGUUUGUUUUUAAGGUGCAGAAACACAUCGCAGAUUAAGGUCUGCAUCUCUGCUUUUUGUUAUUGUUCCAGUUUGAUCUCAGUGACAUUACAAGCAAGCAGAAACACUCAGACAUGAAAUGGCCAGUGCCUGUGAGUUAAGAGCAGGAUCUAGGUCUAUUUUUUUGAUAUGUAUCUCAACUACCUGGAAUACUUUAUACUUUUGGCACUCAAUAAAUAUUUGUUGCUGCCAGA